CUCAUGGAGAGGCUUUAAUUUCAUUAGUGCUUUAGUGCUUAUUGGAAUUCAGCGAUCAAAGACAAUGUGAUGUUGCCAAGAGCCUGUCUUUCGUAUCAAUACCUCAAAACGUGCUUAGAUCAAGUGCAGUUAGUGCUCAUUGCGAUUUGAUUCUCCAAGCAAUAUCUGAGUUUUCCAGUUGAUUAUUUAUGUAUACAGUAUAUCACGGAUUCUUAAGUCAUAUGUAUUGGAGAAAAUAUCAUCGUAUAUUUGUAAAUCCGAAUGUUUCUAUAUUCUCUAGAUUUAGUCUUAUCGGUUAUGGACAUAUGUAACUAUAUAUAUACUCAUCUUCGAGUCUUGUGAAUAACAAGAAGAACAGCUUUAAACCCUUGUUUGUGAUUUCUCAUAGUAGUAGAGCCACGACAUUGAAAUCUCGAUCUUUGGUUGUUCUUCGCUUUAAAACAAAACACUCGACGUUUUUCUCUCUUUGAUUUUCGAUGGCAAAAGACGAUACGGCUCUUGCCGCGGCAGCUGGUCAAUCAGCAGCGACGAACCCGACCUCGACAAGGAGGACCAUCUCCUCCUACGACCUGACGUUUGGAGAUAACCCUGGUGCCGUUAUCUCACAGCCGCUCUUGAACGGACGAAAUUAUGACGAAUGGGCGCAAAAUCUCUGUGUUGCUUUGAGUGCUCAGAAAAAAUUUGCCUUCAUCGACGGCAGCAUCCUGAAGCCUGCUGCGAUAAAACAACCAUUUGCUGGUGACCUGGAUAAAACUCACUAUCGAACCGAAGCUGCGAUCCAACAUCUCUCACAAAGAAGUUGCGAAGGAACUUUGGGACCACAUAAAAAACGCUUUGCUCUCAAGAGUGGAGCGCGAUACCAGCAGCUACGCGGUGCCCUUGCGAACUGUCGACAGUCGGGAUCCUCCGUUGAAGACUACUUCGGGCGCUUAACCAAAAUUUGGGACGCCAUGGCUGAAUGCUGGGACAAAAGGAAUUCGAUAUCUUUCAUUACAAGUUGGGCAUUCGCGCCCUAUAUGCUCCAACUUGGGGGGUAAUUGGACGCUUCUAGAAGAUAUCAUCGUAUAUUUGUAAAUCGGAAUGUUUCUAUAUUCUUUAGAUUUAGUCUUAUCGCUUAUGGACAUAUGUAACUAUAUAUAUACUCGUCUUCGAGUCUUCGCUUAUUGAUGCAGCUCCUGAGCUCUUGGAUUGGUCAAAUGAGUUUCUGUUCCUUAUAUAUUUAAUUCUCAUGGAGAGGCUUUAAUUUCAUUAGUGCUUUAGUGCUUAUUGGAAUUCAGCGAUCAAAGACAAUGUGAUGUUGCCAAGAGCCUGUCUUUUGUAUCAAUACCUCAAAACGUGCUUAGAUCAAGUGCAGUUAGUGCUCAUUGCGAUUUGAUUCUCCAAGCAAUAUCUGAGUUUUCCAGUUGAUUAUUUAUGUAUACAGUAUAUCACGGAUUCUUAAGUCAUA
rnacentral:lncRNA from 1 species